rnacentral:misc_RNA from 1 species
GAAAUGCGAUAAUUAAUGUGAAUUGCAGAAUUCAGUGAAUCAUCGAGUCUUUGAACGCACAUUGCGCCCCCUGGUAUUCCGGGGGGCAUGCCUGUCCGAGCGUCAUUGCUGCCCUCAAGCACGGCUUGUGUGUUGGGCUUCCGUCCCUGGCAACGGGGACGGGCCCAAAAGGCAGUGGCGGCACCAUGUCUGGUCCUCGAGCGUAUGGGGCUUUGUCACCCGCUCCCGUAGGUCCAGCUGGCAGCUAGCCUCGCAACCAAUCUUUUUAACCAGGUUGACGUCGGAUCAGGUAGGGAUACGCGCUGAACUUAAGC